AGACAUCUGUGGCUUGCCUUCUGCUUAUAAAAGCUCUGGGAGAAAGGAAUAGGAGGAGUCAAAUGUCAAAAUGUGCUGGCCCUGUCCUGUUGUGAGAAUGUCGGGAAAUUUCCCUUUCCUUGCUUUCUGCUGCUCAAGAUCCUCAGGCUCUGCCCUGUUAGAGGUUUCAAGAUAGUGGUAUCUGUGUAACUUCAUGGUAAGAAGAUAGAGCUCCAUUCUCCCACCAUGGUAACCCUAAGGCAAGGAAAGGGAGAAGCAGGCAGGAGUCUCCAAACCCCAGUGUGGUAUAAGCAGACAUUUAGGAAGAGCACAGACCACUGUCUCCGCUGACUGAAAGCCAGAUACUCAUGGGCCAGCUGGAGCUUCCUGAAGUCACUUCUAACAAACGACUCGCACUUAAAUCUUUGUCUGGGAUCGGCUUCUAGAGAAACACCACCUCAGAUGGGAACAACUGGGGGAGGUGUCAUUGCCCAAUGAAGCUGGCUUCAAGGAGAAUGAAAUGCUCUGCUAAAUCCUUUACUCUUGUUGUCUGCUUCACCUUCACCAUGCCUCAGUUGAGAGGGAGAUGUUGCCCCCCAACGGGGAAACUAGGGUUUGGAGGAUUUAAGUGGCUUGUCCAAGGAUUUGAAUCCAGGUCUGC
rnacentral:lncRNA from 1 species